rnacentral:rRNA from 1 species
GACGAACGCUGGCGGCGUGCUUAACACAUGCAAGUCGAACGGAAAGGCCCUGCUUUUGUGGGGUGCUCGAGUGGCGAACGGGUGAGUAACACGUGAGUAACCUGCCCUUGACUUUGGGAUAACUUCAGGAAACUGGGGCUAAUACCGGAUAGGAGCUCCUGCUGCAUGGUGGGGGUUGGAAAGUUUCGGCGGUUGGAGAUGGACUCGCGGCUUAUCAGCUUGUUGGUGGGGCAGUGGCUUACCAAGGCUUUGACGGGUAGCCGGCCUGAGAGGGUGACUGGCCACAUUGGGACUGAGAUACGGCCCAGACUCCUACGGGAGGCAGCAGUGGGGAAUAUUGCACAAUGGGCGGAAGCCUGAUGCAGCAACGCCGCGUGCGGGAUGACGGCCUUCGGGUUGUAAACCGCUUUCGCCUGUGACGAAGCGUGAGUGACGGUAAUGGGUAAAGAAGCACCGGCUAACUACGUG